rnacentral:rRNA from 1 species
CCUACGGGUGGCUGCAGUGGGGAAUAUUGGACAAUGGGCGAAAGCCUGAUCCAGCCAUGCCGCGUGUGUGAAGAAGGCCUUCGGGUUGUAAAGCACUUUCAGUGGGGAAGAAAGCCUUGGGGCUAAUACCCUCGAGGAAGGACAUCACCCACAGAAGAAGCACCGGCUAACUCCGUGCCAGCAGCCGCGGUAAUACGGAGGGUGCGAGCGUUAAUCGGAAUUACUGGGCGUAAAGCGCGCGUAGGCGGUCUGAUAAGCCGGUUGUGAAAGCCCCGGGCUCAACCUGGGAACGGCAUCCGGAACUGUCAGGCUAGAGUGCAGGAGAGGAAGGUAGAAUUCCCGGUGUAGCGGUGAAAUGCGUAGAGAUCGGGAGGAAUACCAGUGGCGAAGGCGGCCUUCUGGACUGACACUGACGCUGAGGUGCGAAAGCGUGGGUAGGAAACAGGAUUAGAUACCCCGGUAGUC